UGGGGAAUUUUGGACAAUGGGGGAAACCCUGAUCCAGCCAUCCCGCGUGUGCGAUGAAGGCCUUCGGGUUGUAAAGCACUUUUGGCAGGAAAGAAACGUCGCGGGUUAAUACCCCGCGAAACUGACGGUACCUGCAGAAUAAGCACCGGCUAACUACGUGCCAGCAGCCGCGGUAAUACGUAGGGUGCAAGCGUUAAUCGGAAUUACUGGGCGUAAAGCGUGCGCAGGCGGUUCGGAAAGAAAGAUGUGAAAUCCCAGAGCUUAACUUUGGAACUGCAUUUUUAACUACCGGGCUAGAGUGUGUCAGAGGGAGGUGGAAUUCCGUGUGUAGCAGUGAAAUGCGUAGAUAUGCGGAGGAACACCGAUGGCGAAGGCAGCCUCCUGGGAUAACACUGACGCUCAUGCACGAAAGCGUGGGGAGCAAACAGGAUUAGAUACCCUGGUAGUCCACGCCCUAAACGAUGUCAACUAGCUGUUGGGGCCUUCGGGCCUUGGUAGCGCAGCUAACGCGUGAAGUUGACCGCCUGGGGAGUACGGUCGCAAGAUUAAAACUCAAAAGAAUUGAC
rnacentral:rRNA from 1 species